CAUGUUAGUAGCCCCAAAUCAGAAGGAAUCUAACUCACACAUUUUAUUAAAAGGCAGAAGCUUAGGGUUUAAUAAGGUGUGAAGUCUGAAAAGGUGAUACUAGAUGCUCCUCCUUACUGGCUUAAAAAGAAUAUAUUUUUCACACAGAAAUCGAUCAAGGGCUUUUUAACAGUAUCAUUUCCAGCCACAUAGAUUUAGUUGCAGAGAGGAGAGCCCAAAGCCAAAUCGAUAAAACAGCAAUCACACGCGGACUUCCUAUGCACAAUUAAGGAAAGAGGAAGAGAAAUUCCGUACAGUCCGUUGCUAAGCCCAGAUGGAAGAUUCUCCGGCGUGGUCCCCAACCUUUUGGCAUCCACGAUGGCUCUUCAUAUGCUUUCCUGCUGUUUCUUUUCCUUGCUUUCAAACUGUUGCCCUGCUCCUUUUCCUUCUUUUUACAUUUGCUUGGAUUGUCCGCAAGCCAUCAGAGUCCUGCUUAUUUAUUUACUUAUUAAAUUUAUUAGGCCGCCCGUUUCCCCCCGAGGGUGACUAUACCGCAUAUAUAAGGCGGGCGGCUAUUUAGCUCCGAGCAGUGAAUCUCUUUGGGGAGAUUUUUGCAAAGCCACGCAGUAGGGAAGCCCCUGGAAGAAUUGCUUGCAAAGCACGCGAGGCUGAAACAGGGUCGGCACUUGGGGAUCCAGGUGAACAUGCAUCCCGGCCAGCGGGGGGCGCUACGACAGGGCUUCUUGACCCGGGUCUACCGGCCGUGCGAAGAUGCAGAAGCUAGAAAUCCGGCCAGCUGCAACCCGAGGAAGGCGGGGAGACAAGGCCACGCCCCCUUCUUCCCGCAGCCAAUCGCCUGCCCGCCCGCGCCGCCCGCCCGGCGCAAAGAUGGCGCCCGCGGAGCCGGAAGCUGCGGGCCCGGAAGCGGAAGCGCGGCGCUGAGGUAAACUAGGCUGCGGCCCGGCCCCGGCUGCCGGCGAUGAAGCUGCUCCGAGCGCGCGGGGCGGUGUGGGGCCUGGCCUUCGUGCUGUGGCAGCUGGGCCCGGCGGCGCAGGCGGUGGACCCCAUCACCGUGGGCUUUGCAUUGGCCGGCGCCGCCGCCUCGGCCCUCACCGGCAUCAUCUCCUACCCGAAGCUGUACUGCUACUUCGCCGAGUGCUGCGCGGACAGGCCGCCGGUGCUCGUGCGGGAAGAACUUCAGAAGAAUUUGGAGAAGAAAGUUUUCGGACAACAUCUCGUGUCAGAGGUGAUUGUGAAAGCCGUCACUGGGUUUCUGACCAAUUCAAAUCCGAAGAAACCCCUGGCCCUCUCCUUGCACGGGUGGACUGGGACGGGCAAAAAUUUCGUCAGUAAGAUUAUUGCGGAGAGCAUUUACGAAGAAGGGCUGAGGAGCAGAUACGUUCACCAGUUUGUGUCUACUUUGCACUUCCCGCAUCAGCAGAACAUUAGUCAGUACAAGGACCAAUUGCAAAUGUGGAUUCGUGGCAACGUGAGCACCUGUGGAAGGUCGAUCUUCAUAUUUGACGAGAUGGAUAAAAUGCACGCAGGACUCAUAGACUCGAUCAAGCCUUUCCUGGAAUAUUACGAACAGAUAGAUGGCAUAUCGUACCGAAAAGCGAUCUUCAUCUUCCUCAGCAAUGCAGGAGCUGAAAAAAUAACAGAGGUGGCCCUGGAAUACUGGAGGAAAGGAAGGAGGAGGGAAGACCUGCCUCUGCACGUUAUGCAACAAUCGUUGUCAAACUCUGUCUUUAAUAACAAAAAUAGUGGUUUUUGGCACAGCAGCCUGAUCGACCGAAACGUCAUCGAUUACUUCAUUCCGUUCCUUCCGUUGGAAAUCAGGUGGGGAAUUCUGGGAGUUCCAGUGUCACCCUGCUGGGGAAUUCUGGGAGUUGAAGUCCACACUUCUUAAAGUCGCUGAGGUUGAGAAACACUGUCGUAAAGCAUCUCCCUCAGGGAGGAACAUCAGAGUCCCUCCAGCAGAAAUGCCUCGUGACUUCCUUUGUGCAUUAUUACCACGUCGUGUUGGGUGCGAUGGACUCGGCCAACCGGGCUGCUGUGUCGCAGAGCCUACAAAAUGCAAGCCGGGCCACAGGCCAGCCCUGCAGCUUACCUCCUUACCGUUCAAACUGUAUUUUGGUUAUCAAGCUUUCAGCAAAAACCAUGGCUGAAUUAAGUCUACAAUUCUAUUUCUGUGCUUGGCUGGGUUCUUCAUCAAGAAUUUAAAGGGAAUGAACUCACAGCUAAAUUUGUAACUCCCACUGAGCAUAGCUAUAUGUGCAUGUGGUCUGUAUUCAUGCCACACGAUUGAGAAAAUGCCUUCUACGUUAAGCUGUAUUUAUUGUGGGCUUUUUUUCCCACAGGCAAGUACGUUAAGCAAAUUUUAAAAAAUGGGUUUAUUUGGUAAUAAUAAGGUUGCAAUGUUUGUCUGGUAUGAAGUAGUAGGUGUGAUGAAGAAUAAAAAAAUACUACUGAUUAGUAAUACAGGUGGUUCUUGUUUUGCAACCACAAUUGGGACCGGCAACUUAGUCAUUAAACAAAGCGGUCGCUAAGUGAAAAAUCCCAUCACCACAACUGUACUUAUGAUUUUACACAGGACAAUGCGUACUCAUUGACUAAUGGUGAAUAUGUGACAAAUGCUGCGAAGGUCGUAAGUGUGAGCAUCAGUUGCAAAGUUUUCAACACCGUCAUAACUGCAGUCGCUAAAUGAGGACUACCUGUAUAUUAUGCUAGACCCCCAAAAGUAACAUUUUCAUUCUACUCCAUCAGUGGCUUUUUCUCUUCUUCUAAACCAAUGGAAGGAUUUUUUUAAAAAAAAUUGUGAAUAAACAGUUUGUGCCAAACUCUACUUUCUUUUUGUCUUUAUAUCCGCUGAUUGAAAAGCUGUGGAAACUUAAUUAUUGUGGUUUGCAGUUGAGGAGGAGAUUUAAAUCAAGAUGCUCAAUGUUCUCUGCCACGGCCUCUCUGGAAAAGUCUCAAAUAAAUGUGCACAUCUUACAAACUUGAUUUUAAUUGUAGGAUGAGAAAAACAUCCUUGGCUAAGCACAUUGAUCUCUCGAACUACUACUUGGCGACUGUUGUAGGGUGUUUUAUUUUAAAAAUGCUCCAUUGAUAAUGUUUUUAUUUUGUUGUUAGCUGCUCAGAGUCGCAUUUGUGAGAGCAGUGGCUGUAUAAAUCUAUUAAAUAAACCAAAAAAGUCAACAGUGGCGAUUUUACGUAUGACAGGUAAGCCACAGCAGUUCUCUUGCGUUGGUGUUCAACAGAUGCAGUACUUUUGGGAGGAAACACGCCUUUUUCAAUAAACUCAAAGCUCUUAAACUCCUACAAACUAGAUUUAUCAUUGAGCAUCUUGGCACUUAAUGGUAGCUACAAGAAACGAUAAUUUUAAAGGGGACUUUUCUCAGCAGGGAACUAGAAAAGCUGUUAAUUACAGCUUCUCACAGUGAAACGUUGUCCUUGACGCUUCUCCUGCAUUUGAAGCAAUCCACUGAUCCAGCUUACAAUUCUGGACUGCUCCAGAUGGUU